GAAUACUUAAUUUUUUUUUUAAUACCAUAUAUUUAUACAAAACUCAGGCCUAUGAUGUCCCACCUCCCCAUGUUUUAAUUUGCAACACUACCUUGUCGUUGUUUUUGUAAGAAUAGCUACCAUUUGUUUUACCCAAUAUACUCACGUCUCUAAAACACUUUCCGUCUUAAUAACGGAUGACUACGUGAUCUUUUUGUCAACUGUCAACAAGGUCGGUCUGUUGUUUUUUACUACCCAGGACAAAAUAAGAAAUUUAUGCCCUUAUAUAUACCAUACGAUAAAGAAAACUUGUCUAUAAAAUAUUUAUAAAAUAAAAAAUGCAGUAAAUAUUAUAAUCAAACAAAUAGUAGAAUAAAAAACCUACAAAAAUCACCUAAAAUGACGUCUGUAUGUACUUUUUUGAAGCUAAAACAUCUCUUAUUUUACAAUAAUUAAUAUUUUGAAAAAAAUCACUUUCAAUACUUAAAAAUGCUAAUAUAUUCAAUCUUUUCUUGAGUCAUGGUAAAUAUACAAUUUCAAGACCUUCAAUUUUGAAAAAUUUCCUUCCGCGGAAGCAACCAUAACCUGCACAAUCAACAAUAUCAUAUACACAACCAAAACAUUAGUGAACAUAUAUAUUAUUCUUGCAUACUCCACUCUUCUUGUUCUCUUUUUGUUUUCUAUUUUGAGCAGCACCUUAUGGUUGUUUUCAGAGAAACAUAUAUAUAACUCAAAAAAUCUAAUUAUAAAAUUUAAGCAACAAAAAGAUACAACAUGUCCAAAGUUUAUGUUUUCCCCUUUCAAGAUGUCAAGAGAUCUGAAAAAUAAACCAGAUAAUAAAAAAUAAGAAUCUAUUUUUCAAAACUAUUAUAUAUUAUAACAAUGGAAUACAUUUAUACCUUUUUGCUACUCACUAAAAGUAUAGAUAGUAAAAAAACAGAAAUAAGAACUCAUAUGUUCAAUAAAUAAUUAAACUUCUUUCUGCUUCCUGAUUCAAAUAAAAAACAAGAACACAAAAGGUUAGAAGACAAAUUAAAAAAAAAUGAUGAGAAGGCAUAGAUUUUGGUUUAAACAUUGGAGAAAUUUUUAACUUUCAACUACGUCUAAAAGUCAAGCAAGAUAGUAAAAAAGACAUAAAUCAGAACUCAGAAGUUCAAAAGAUAAUUAAAUGUCUUUCCUCCUCCUCAUUCACAUCAAAAAACAAGAACACAACGGUUUACAAGACAAAUUAAAAAAAAAAAAAAACAAAAAACAAAAAACAAAAAAAAACAAACAAACAAACGAGAAUGCAACAAUUUUUUUUACCUAAAUUAGAUACAAACCAACAACAGCUUGACUUAGAAUCUAAAGCUCAAACACAGGAAUCAAAUACAAAACAACAACAUAUUUUUGCUUCAACUAAUCAUAUAGUAUUUGGGAGUUUAACACUUUUAACUGAACUCGAAUUCAACAUGUAAAGAUAAAAAAAAUUGACCCAAAUAAAAGAAAAGAAUCCAUAAAUCAGAAACAAUUAACAAAAUAUGAAGUUAAGAAAAAAAUAAAAAAAGUACUCCCUGAAGAGUGAAGAGAUUCAUUCAUUCGGAUAUCAAAAAAAUCCAAUACGUGACGCUCUGUUGUAAUGCCUAAUCGGAACUCGGAACCCAGAUUGCGAGAUUGAAACUUGAAAAAAAUCAAACUCUGAGAGCAGGUGAUGCUCGAUUGAAUGCACAAAAGGUUUAGAGAGAUCGAGAGAAAAGAAAUCAGAUAUCUAUUUGAUUUAGAAUGCGAAAUUGAGAAUAGAAUUCAUAUACCGAUUUACUGAUUUAGAAUUUGACUCCUCGAUCCCAACAUAUCGCUCAACGAUUUUCAGUUUUCAAGGGUGUUACCGAUUACCGAUUUUGACGAUUGAAAAUCUCAAGAACUUUGAUUAUUUGUUGGAGGCUUUCAGUGAAAUUAUGCCCCAGUACGUUGAUUUCUUCGUGAGCACAACUCACAAAUGGACUGAACUUCCAACAUAGUAUAGUAUAUAGU
rnacentral:lncRNA from 1 species